UACGGAGGGGGCUGGAGUUGUUCGGAAUUACUGGGCGUAAAGCGCACGUAGGCGGACUGGAAAGUCAGAGGUGAAAUCCCAGGGCUCAACCUUGGAACUGCCUUUGAAACUCCCGGUCUUGAGGUCGAGAGAGGUGAGUGGAAUUCCGAGUGUAGAGGUGAAAUUCGUAGAUAUUCGGAGGAACACCAGUGGCGAAGGUGGAUCACGGGUUCGAUACUGACGAUGAGUUGCGAAAUUUUGGGGAGCAAACAGG
rnacentral:rRNA from 1 species